GCAGACGUAUUUCCCAAGUUAUGCAACGUGAAUGUAAAGACUGAUGUAGGUAAGCUGCUCUCUUUGUAGUUGUGGGGGAUAAAAGGAGAGAUCUGACGGCAUACUAUCCUGAGUGCUGGAUCAGGUUCCCCAUCGUAUACAGUCCACGCUCUUGGAUAGAGACCAUGAUAUGUAGAAUUUUGGCCACCCAAAUUCCAGUCCCAAGAUCCUAUUCCAGAAGCUGAAGAAUCAUUUGGAGUUCUCGGGCAUAACACAGUAGAAUAUUUUUCACCAUUCGGCCGUGUUACAAAUAUCUGCAAUAGUAAUCCA
rnacentral:misc_RNA from 1 species